CUUUAACAAGCAGUUUUGUAGUUAACAUCCUCUAGUUUUGUAAAGAAUUAUGUUUAAAGAAUAUGUCAAUGGCUUAAUGUCAAAUUAAAUUUGUUAAUGCAAUUUUAAUGCAUCUACUUUUUGUUGUUGAAAAAGUUCAGACUCACGAAGAUGAGAUCACAUAUGCUGAGACAACAUUCAACAAAACAAACACACAUAAAUUAAAAGCUGAAGAGGAUGAUCAUGUGGAUUAUGCACCAGUCACAUAGAGAAGAUUAUCAAACUUCAGUUUAGCUGUGUUGUCUGUGGUAACUUUUGAGUCUGAAUCUUGUGUGAGAAUCAGUCAUCCUGAGGGCUAAAAAUGAAAUGGUCUCUUAAAACUUCAAAAGCACUUGCCUUGUGACACAAUUCUAAAUCAAAUGGAGUAAGUUUUUGUUUUACCCUUAAAUGUGUGUAAACUCAUGAAAAUAGCAUAAAAUGCAGAUGCAAAAUACUCAUCAAAAGGACGGAAGACUUUGCUGUUUUCACAUUUUCUCUACACAAAUGUGUUUUGAUCUGUGACAGUCACAGACUGCUUGUUCAUGAGAAUGUGUCUUGUGGUCAGUGUCUGUUUGUAAGUGUGUCUCUGAGGUGUGGAAAGUUCAUAUUUAAUAAUAGCAUGUGGUUGAAGUGCUUUUUCCAUUGCUGCUCACAUGAAAUCAUUUAAUUUCUGCUCUAGCUUUCUUUAGAACUAUCAAUGCUGCUUUUUGACAUAAAAGUCUUAAAUCGCACAGAGAAUUUACUCUGGAAUAUAUAUAUAUAUAUAUAUAUAUAUAUAUAUAUAUAUAUAUAUAUAUAUAUAUAUAUAUUUGUGUGCAUAUAUAUUGAUCUUUUAUAUAUAUGCUACAUCUGCAGUGAUCCUGCAGCUAAGCAUGGCUUUUUUCACAAGUUAUUUCCAGCUUUUCUGUAAUACCUUCUAAGAACUAUUCUUGAUAUCCUGUUUUUCUGUCAAUGUCUGGGAGUCAUUUUAUGUAUAAAUGUAAUAUAUGAUUUACAGUUUAUGAUUGAUGGUUAAAAUUUACUGUCGUUUUAAUCAGUUUUGAGGUACUGUAAAACUAACAAAAAGUAGCAAUGAUGCUAAUCUUUUAUUUAUUUUUAAUUUUCAGUACCAUAACAAUGCUGCUAUUCAAACAUAAAAUGUAAACCAUUUGCUUUUUAAUUUUAUUGGGGGUAAAAAAAAGAAAGACUUAAUUUUAUUUAUGAAUAGGCCUAUAGUUUGUACAAGUUAGUAUGGUGUACUGGUUGAUAUCAGUACCUAUUUAAAACAUAGUUACAGUUACUGGUCAAAACCCCACAUCUUUGUGAUAUUCUGGUUUGUCGAAUGUUUAUAUGGCAUGGUUUUUGUGCUUCCAAGGGGCUUUUCAUCUGAGUCAUCAUCCAGAAAUUGAAGCAUAAAACAGCAUAAUAGCAGCACGUCGCCUCAACAACAUAAAGCUCUAAAGAAACAGUCAUUGAUGCUUGAAAGCACUGGACUGACUCUGUACAAGAAAGUUUACACACAUAAGUAGGCUUCCUUCUGUCAAUUCAACUCAGGAAUUCACUAUUACCAACCUUAACUAAGAAAAUUUUUUACAUAACACCACUUAACAUCAGACGUAGGCCUACAACUCAUGUGUAAGUCAACUUUGAUGAUGUCGCCUGUCUAGUUUAUGACAUCACAGGAACAUGGUGGCUAGCCAAAUUCUCUACACAUAAAAGUUACGUUUUUUAUCAAAGAAAGUGAAUAGAGUUCAAGUUAAUCUACAUGAUAUCAUGCUUGAUAAAAAAGAUUUUGUAGUGAAGUAAAUACUACAUAAAUACACAUGUAAUUUCUACAUUAAUUUAGUUAAGGCAAGAAUAAAAAUGUUAGUUAAAAUGUUAGUUCUCAAUUUAAAAUAGUAGAAAUUAAAGUUGGAACUUAUAAGUAUAGUUUACGUAGAACCAUUUGUUAUGUUUACAAGGAUUCUUUAAGAAAAUAUCAAAGUUAUGAUCCCAUAUUUCCCAUCAUGCACUGGGGCAAGAAUAAUAAAAAAUGUAGUUUAUUUAUUUAUUUAUUUUUUACAGUUUUCGUGUUGUAUUUACACUGUUUUAUGGUUGAUUUUUGUCAUUAGGUUUAGUAACAUAAUGUUUUGUGACAUUUGAACUUUAUUUUCUACUCAAAAUGACCUCAAAGUGAGUCAUGUUCCAUACAUACAUGGAACAUUAAUUAACAGGACUCACUCCCACAUUUGAAUGUGGUUGUCUAUCCUGAAACUCGCAGUGUCUGUGUGGCAAAAAUUACUAUGACUUAAUAAAUAAAUAAAUAAAUACUUGCAUU